rnacentral:rRNA from 1 species
AUUGAACGCUGGCGGCAGGCUUAACACAUGCAAGUCGAGCGGGGUGAUGGUGCUUGCACUAUCACUUAGCGGCGGACGGGUGAGUAAUGCUUAGGAAUCUGCCUAUUAGUGGGGGACAACAUCUCGAAAGGGAUGCUAAUACCGCAUACGUCCUACGGUAGAAAGCAGGGGAUCACUUGUGACCUUGCGCUAAUAGAUGAGCCUAAGUCGGAUUAGCUAGUUGGUGGGGUAAAGGCCUACCAAGGCGACGAUCUGUAGCGGGUCAGAGAGGAUGAUCCGCCACACUGGGACUGGGACACGGCCCAGACUCCUACGGGAGGGAGCAGUGGGGAAUAUUGGACAAUGGGGGGAACCCUGAUCCAGCCAUGCCGCGUGUGUGAAGAAGGCCUUAUGGUUGUAAAGCACUUUAAGCGAGGAGGAGGCUCUUUUGGUUAAUACCCAAGAUGAGUGGACGUUACUCGCAGAAUAAGCACCGGCUAACUCUGUGCCAGCCGCCGCCGUAA